AGUAAUGUCUGGGAAACUGCCUGAUGGAGGGGGAUAACUACUGGAAACGGUAGCUAAUACCGCAUAACGUCGCAAGACCAAAGUGGGGGACCGUUCGGGGCCUCAUGCCAUCAGAUGUGCCCAGAUGGGAUUAGCUAGUAGGUGGGGUAACGGCUCACCUAGGCGACGAUCCCUAGCUGGUCUGAGAGGAUGACCAGCCACACUGGAACUGAGACACGGUCCAG
rnacentral:rRNA from 1 species